rnacentral:rRNA from 1 species
AACCCCGGGAAACCGGGGAUAAUACCGGAUAGAUCACCUAUGCUGGAAGGGCUUGGUGGUUUAAAGGCAACGCCUUUGGAUGGGUCUGCGGCGGAUUAGGUUGACGCCGGUGUAAUGUACCGGCGUGCCUGUAAUCCGUACGGGUUGUGGGAGCAAGAGCCCGGAGAUGGAUUCUGAGACACGAAUCCAGGCCCUACGGGGCGCAGCAGGCGCGAAAACUCUACAAUGCAGGAGACUGCGAUAGGGGGACAUCGAGUGGCAUCCACCUUGGGUGCCUGUCCAACCGUCUAAAAAACGGUUGUUAGCAAGGGCCGGGUAAGACCGGUGCCAGCCGCCGCGGUAAUACCGGCGGCUCGAGUGGUGGCCGAUAUUAUUGAGUCUAAAGGGUCCGUAGCCGGCUUUGCAAGUCCCCUGGGAAAUCCAGCGGCUUAACCGUUGGGCUUUCAUGGGAUACUACAUUGCUUGGGACUGGGAGAGGUAGGAGGUACUCGGGGGGUAGGGGUGAAAUCCUGUAAUCCUCCGGGGACCACCGGUGGCGAAGGCGUCCUACCAGAACAGGUCCGACGGUGAGGGACGAAAGCUAGGGGCACGAACCGGAUUAGAUACCCGGGUAGUCCUAGCCGUAAACGAUGCCCGCUAGGUGUCACGACAGUCGUGAAUUGUCGUGGUGCCGUAGGGAAGCCGCGAAGCGGGCCACUUGGGAAGUACGACCGCAAG